rnacentral:rRNA from 1 species
GUCCACACGGUAAACGAUGGAUACUCGCUGUUGGCGAUAGACUGUCAGCGGCUUAGCGAAAGCGUUAAGUAUCCCACCUGGGGAGUACGCCGGCAACGGUGAAACUCAAAGGAAUUGACGGGGGCCCGCACAAGCGGAGGAACAUGUGGUUUAAUUCGAUGAUACGCGAGGAACCUUACCCGGGCUUGAAUUGCAGACGAAUUGCUUGGAAACAGGCAAGCCGCAAGGCGUCUGUGAAGGUGCUGCAUGGUUGUCGU